rnacentral:rRNA from 1 species
UACGAAGGGGGCUAGCGUUGUUCGGAAUUACUGGGCGUAAAGCGUGCGCAGGCGGCUUCCCAAGUCAGGAGUGAAAGCCCAGAGCUCAACUCUGGAAUUGCCUUUGAGACUGAGUGGCUUGAGUACGGGAGAGGUGAGUGGAAUUCCCAGUGUAGAGGUGAAAUUCGUAGAUAUUGGGAAGAACACCGGUGGCGAAGGCGGCUCACUGGCCCGUAACUGACGCUCAUGCACGACAGCGUGGGGAUCAAACAGG